UACGUAGGGUGCAAGCGUUGUCCGGAAUUAUUGGGCGUAAAGAGCUCGUAGGCGGCCUGUCGCGUCGGCUGUGAAAACUCAGGGCUCAACCCUGAGCCUGCAGUCGAUACGGGGAGGCUAGAGUCCGGCAGGGGAGACUGGAAUUCCUGGUGUAGCGGUGGAAUGCGCAGAUAUCAGGAGGAACACCGGUGGCGAAGGCGGGUCUCUGGGCAGUAACUGACGCUGAGGAGCGAAAGCGUGGGGAGCGAACAGG
rnacentral:rRNA from 1 species